AACGAACGCUGGCGGCAGGCUUAACACAUGCAAGUCGAGCGCAUCCUUCGGGGUGAGCGGCGGACGGGUGAGUAACGCGUGGGAACGUGCCCUCUUCUACGGAAUAGCCUCGGGAAACUGAGAGUAAUGCCGUAUACGCCCGCAAGGGGAAAGAUUUAUCGGAGGAGGAUCGGCCCGCGUUGGAUUAGGUAGUUGGUGGGGUAACGGCCUACCAAGCCGACGAUCCAUAGCUGGUUUGAGAGGAUGAUCAGCCACACUGGGACUGAGACACGGCCCAGACCCCUACGGGAGGCAGCGGUGGGGAAUUUUGGAAAAUGGGGGCAACCCUGACCCACCCAUGCCGGGUGAUCGAUGAAGGCCUUGGGUUUGAAAAGAUCUUUCAGCGGGGAAGAAAAUGCGGGUACCAGCAAAAAAAGCCCCGCCUAACUCCGU
rnacentral:rRNA from 1 species